ensembl:lncRNA
GUGUCUGACUCUUUGCAACCCCAUGGACUGCAGCCCACCAGGCUCCUCCAUCCAUGAGAUUUUCCAGGCAAGAGUACUGGAGUGAGGUGCCAUCGCCUUCUCCGCAAUUUCAAUAUAGCAUAAGGCAAUUUUCAAGUGACUAAAACACAACCCAAAGAAAAGAAUUCUGACAAAUACAGUCAAUAAUGUUGAAAGCAAACUGUUACCAUCUCUUCUACAUUCAGGACCUGUGCGCUGUCACUUCUCAAAACCUGGCUUCUAGGAUGGUGGUGGCAAUUAAGAUAGCCUGGAGGAGGCCUGCUGCUGCUGCUAAGUCACUUCAGUCGUGUCCGACUCUGUGCAACCCCAUAGACGGAAGCCCACCAGGCUCCCCUGUCCCUGGGAUUCUCCAGGCAAGAACACUGGAGUGGGUUGCCAUUUCCUUCUCCAAUGCAUGAAAGUGAAAAGUGAAAGUGAAGUCGCUCAGUCGUGUCUGACUCUUCGAGACCCCAUGGACUGCAGCCUACCAGGCUCCUCCGUUCAUGGGAUUUUCCAGGGCCUGUGAGAUGGAGCUCAGCCCUCCGCCUUCACCCCAACACCGACAGCGCCCCAGGACACACAGACCUGGAUGGACCCUGACAACCUCGGCCCCCUGCAGUCAGGGCAGCCUCGCAUACCCAGUUUUCUGGAAGCCGCAGGUAGCUAACCCAGGUGUCUGUCGGAUUCUCAACACCAGCGCCAGAAGUAAAGACCAGGGCAGAAGGAACAGUGACACCUGCGCGGGCCCGGGAAGCACCGCAGAGAGAGAGGCGGGAGCUCGCCCUGGGCUCCCCCCGCCCAGCUCCGCGCUCUCCGCAGCAGCCGGCCCCCCUGCUCUCCCCACCAGCUCCCGGCAAACCCUGCCUCCGCGCCGCCUGGGCCGCUGAGAGACCCGCGCAGCCCGGAUCAUGUCCCCGCGCCCGGGUCCGGGGCAGAUAUUUGCAGCUGUUUGCCCCCAGGCAGCGACGCGACCCCGACCCCUCAGCUGUGCCGCGCCCCCGGCGCCCCCACUCCCCAGCGGCGCCGGGCAGGGGCGCCCGCAUUGCCCACCGCGGCCGCGCGGCCCCUCAGGGACCAGGCUGGGGGGCCCGCCGCCCCCAGCGCGGUGCGCCUGUCCCGCUCACCUGCACCGCCGCGCUCGCCGGGCCUCCGCGCGCCAGCCUGGGUCCCGGCUCUCAGAUCCCAGUCAGCGCAGAGCGCACUCGCUGCGGGCCGGCCUUGGUGUGGCCGCGCAGGGAGGGACGGGGCGGGGUGCGGCUCCUCCCCGCCCCGAGCCACCUGGGGCGCCCGGGAAGGGGCGGGGCAGGGCCGGGACAGGUGGGCCCCGCCCGCUGCCCGCAGCCCGGGACUCCUUCGAGAUCCUCCGCGGGGUGGAAGCGGGGCCCGGGCGGCCCCGUAAUAAGUGACACCUGGGACAGUUAGUGCUUGGGAGGGGCGGGGAGCCAGGACCCGGCUCACACACAGACCGUUUCCACACAGUCUGGCCCAUUGGGGAAAUGGAUCACGGAGCGUGGGAGCCGGAACCCCCUGAACAGGAAAAGGAGAGGCCAGUCCUUCUG